rnacentral:tRNA from 1 species
UAGCUCAGUUGGUAGAGCAUCUGACUUUUAAUCAGAGGGUCAGAGGUUCGACUC